UACGGGGGGGGCAAGCGUUGUUCGGAAUUACUGGGCGUAAAGGGCUCGUAGGCGGCCAACUAAGUCAGACGUGAAAUCCCUCGGCUUAACCGGGGAACUGCGUCUGAUACUGGAUGGCUUGAGUUUGGGAGAGGGAUGCGGAAUUCCAGGUGUAGCGGUGAAAUGCGUAGAUAUCGGGAGGAACACCUGUGGCGAAGGCGGCCCCCUGGUCGGAUACUGACGCUGAGACGCGAAAGCGUGGGGAGCAAACAGG
rnacentral:rRNA from 1 species